rnacentral:rRNA from 1 species
GACGAACGCUGGCGGCGUGCUUAACACAUGCAAGUCGAGCGGUAAGGCCCUUUCGGGGGUACACGAGCGGCGAACGGGUGAGUAACACGUGGGUGACCUGCCCUCAGCUCUGGGAUAAGCCUGGGAAACCGGGUCUAAUACCGGAUAUGACUCCAUGACGCAUGUUGUGGGGUGGAAAGCCUUGUGCGGCUGAGGAUGGGCCCGCGGCCUAUCAGCUUGUUGGUGGGGUGAUGGCCUACCAAGGCGACGACGGGUAGCCGGCCUGAGAGGGCGACCGGCCACACUGGGACUGAGACACGGCCCAGACUCCUACGGGAGGGCAGCAGUGGGGAAUCUUGCGCAAUGGGCGAAAGCCUGACGCAGCGACGCCGCGUGAGGGAUGACGGCCU